rnacentral:rRNA from 1 species
GACGAACGCUGGCGGCGUGCUUAACACAUGCAAGUCGAACGGAAAGGCCCCUUCGGGGGUACUCGAGUGGCGAACGGGUGAGUAACACGUGAGUAACCUGCCCUUGACUUCGGGAUAACUUCAGGAAACUGGGGCUAAUACCGGAUAGGAAUCCUUGCUGCAUAGUGGGGGUUGGAAAGCUUCGGCGGUUUUGGAUGGACUCGCGGCUUAUCAGCUUGUUGGUGGGGUAGUGGCUUACCAAGGCUUUGACGGGUAGCCGGCCUGAGAGGGCGACCGGCCACAUUGGGACUGAGAUACGGCCCAGACUCCUACGGGAGGCAGCAGUGGGGAAUAUUGCACAAUGGGCGGAAGCCUGAUGCAGCAACGCCGCGUGCGGGAUGACGGCCUUCGGGUUGUAAACCGCUUUCAGCAGGGGCGAAGCUUGUGGUGACGGUACCUGCAGAAGAAGCACCGGCUAACUACGUG